GGACAGGUACCCAAGCGGCCAACGGGGGCAGACUGUAAAUCUGCUGUCAAUUGACUUCGGAGGUUCGAAUCCUUCCCUGUCCA
rnacentral:tRNA from 1 species